UACGGGGGGGGCAAGCGUUGUUCGGAAUUACUGGGCGUAAAGGGCUCGUAGGCGGCCAACUAAGUCAGACGUGAAAUCCCUCGGCUUAACCGGGGAACUGCGUCUGAUACUGGAUGGCUUGAGAUUGGGAGAGGGAUGCGGAAUUCCAGGUGUAGCGGUGAAAUGCGUAGAUAUCUGGAGGAACACCGGUGGCGAAGGCGGUAUCCUGGACCAACACUGACGCUGAGUGAGCGAAAGCCAGGGGAGCAAACGGG
rnacentral:rRNA from 1 species